rnacentral:rRNA from 1 species
GGAAAGUUCCACCGUAGAAGGUAAUAGUCCUGUAUAUGAAAGCUAGUAUAAUCGAGUUAUGAUCCAGAGUACCACGAGACACGUGAAACCUUGUGGGAAGCAGGGAGGACCACCUCCCAAGGCUAAAUACUACCUGAUGACCGAUAGUGAAGCAGUACCGUGAGGGAAAGGUGAAAAGAACCCCGGGAGGGGAGUGAAAUAGAACCUGAAACCGUGUGCCUACAACCGCUCAGAGCCCCUUAUGAGGGUGAUGAGGUGCUUUUUGUAGAACGAGCCAACGAGUUACGGUAUGUAGCAAGGUUAAGUACUUAAGGUACGGAGCCGAAGGGAAACCGAGUCUGAAUAGGGCGACUAGUUGCAUGCCGUAGACCCGAAACCGGGUGACCUAUCCAUGGCCAGGUUGAAGCGAGGGUAAAACCUCGUGGAGGACCGAACCACGUUGCUGUUGAAAAAGCAUGGGAUGAGCUGUGGAUAGCGGAGAAAUUCCAAUCGAACCCGGAGAUAGCUGGUUCUCUCCGAAAUAGCUUUAGGGCUAGCGUCGAGUAUGAGUAGUGGAGGUAGAGCACUGAAUGGGCUAGGGGGCAUAGCGCUUACCGAACCUUAUCAAACUCCGAAUGCCACAUACUUUGAGCUCGGCAGUCAGACUACGAAUGAUAAGAUCCGUGGUCAAAAGGGAAACAGCCCAGAUCGUCAGCUAAGGUCCCAAAGUGUAAGUUAAGUGGGAAAGGAUGUGAGAUUUCUAAGACAACUAGGAUGUUGGCUUAGAAGCAGCCAUUCAUUAAAAGAGUGCGUAAUAGCUCACUAGUCGAGAGAUCUUGCGCCGAAAAUGUAACGGGGCUAAACUUACCACCGAAGCUACGGGCUUGAACUUAGUUCAAGCGGUAGGAGAGCGUCGUAACCGGGCUGAAGUCGUACCGUAAGGAGCGGUGGACUGGUUACGAGUGAGAAUGUUGGCAUCAGUAGCGAGAUGUGGGUGAGAAUCCCACAGGCCGAAAACCUAAGGUUUCCUCAGGAAGGUUCGUCCGCUGAGGGUUAGUCGGGACCUAAGCCGAGGCCGAAAGGCGUAGGUGAUGGACAACUGGUUGAUAUUCCAGUACCACUACCAUCGUUAUUAUCGAUGGCGUGACGCAGGAGGAUAGUGUGUGCUAGCUAUUGGAUGCUAGUCUAAGCGUUUAGGCAGUGAGAGUAGGCAAAUCCGCUCUCAUAAUGCUGAGGCGUGAUGGGGAAGGUUCUACGGAACCGAAGUACAUGAUUCCACGCUGCCAAGAAAAGCGUCUAGAGAGAGAAGUAGUGCCCGUACCGCAAACCGACACAGGUAGGUGAGGAGAGAAUCCUAAGGCCGGCGGAAGAAUUACAGUUAAGGAACUCGGCAAAUUGACCCCGUAAGUUCGCGAGAAGGGGUGCCUACGAGAGUAGGCCGCAGAGAAUAGGCCCAAGCAACUGUUUAGCAAAAACACAGGUCUCUGCUAAAGCGUAAGCUGAUGUAUAGGGGCUGACGCCUGCCCGGUGCUGGAAGGUUAAGGGGAACACUUAGCGCAAGCGAAGGUGUGAACUUAAGCCCCAGUAAACGGCGGCCGUAACUAUAACGGUCCUAAGGUAGCGAAAUUCCUUGUCAGGUAAGUUCUGACCCGCACGAAUGGCGUAAUGACUUGGGCACUGUCUCAACUGUAAAUCCGGCGAAGUUGUAGUGCGAGUGAAGAUGCUCGCUACCCGCGAUUGGACGGAAAGACCCCGUAGAGCUUUACUGUAGCUUAGCAUUGAGUUUUGGUAUUGUCUGUACAGGAUAGGUGGGAGACUAGGAAACCAGGGCGUCAGCCUUGGUGGAGUCAACCUUGGGAUACCACCCUGACAGUACUGAAAUUCUAACUGGCGGCCAUGAAUCUGGUCACAGGACAUUGUUAGGUGGGCAGUUUGACUGGGGCGGUCGCCUCCUAAAAAGUAACGGAGGCGCCCAAAGGUUCCCUCAGAACGGUCGGAAAUCGUUCGAAGAGUGCAAAGGCAGAAGGGAGCCUGACUGCGACACCCACAAGUGGAGCAGGGACGAAAGUCGGGCUUAGUGAUCCGGUGGUACCUCGUGGGAGGGCCAUCGCUCAACGGAUAAAAGCUACCUCGGGGAUAACAGGCUGAUCUCCCCCAAGAGUCCACAUCGACGGGGAGGUUUGGCACCUCGAUGUCGGCUCGUCGCAUCCUGGGGCUGUAGUCGGUCCCAAGGGUUGGGCUGUUCGCCCAUUAAAGCGGCACGCGAGCUGGGUUCAGAACGUCGUGAGACAGUUCGGUCCCUAUCCGUCGCGGGCGUUGGAAAUUUGAGAGGAGCUGUCCUUAGUACGAGAGGACCGGGAUGGACUUACCGCUGGUGUACCAGUUGUUCUGCCAAGGGCAUUGCUGGGUAGCUAUGUAGGGAAGGGAUAAACGCUGAAAGCAUCUAAGUGUGAAGCCCACCUCAAGAUGAGAUUUCCCAUUUCUUUAAGAAAGUAAGACCCCUGAGAGAUGAUCAGGUAGAUAGGUUGGAAGUGGAAGGCUAGUGAUAGUUGGAGCGGACCAAUACUAAUCGGUCGAGGACUUAACCAA